UUGCGGAUGUGCUAGCACAAUUUGUACACAAAGGUAGCAGCCAGUCAAACGGACAAGACAAUCUUCAACCUCAUGGUGAGAAGGUUGCAUCAGAGAAAACAGGGAAAUGAAGAAGGUCUAUCGAUUCAAUUCCACCAAUACGGGUGAUCGGAGGGGAGCAAAUAGGGCUGGAAAGGAGGCUUUAUUUUCACGUAACACUUAUAAAAAACUGGAAGAGGGGAAAGGAAAACAGAGUGGGGCAGUCUGUGAAAAGGUCUCAUCCAACAAAAGAAGAAAGUAUGAAAAAGGUCCGAAGAAAGCACAUACUAAAGUUCGGGUGGUUUUCAGGUUACUUUAAUACUUCAAGAGGGAAACAAGUUAUGGAAAGUGAGGAGAAGCAACUGAAAGUCAAAUUGCCUAAACAAUGCAUGACGAAUCGUCCCACAGAAGAGGAGGUUCCCCCUUACUUCCACAAUGUAUCAACAGAGGAGGAUAAUCCAAUUUAUGACUCAUCUG
rnacentral:lncRNA from 1 species